rnacentral:misc_RNA from 1 species
CAUUUACAGAGCAACACAACAAGGGAGUGGGUAAGGGGAAAAAAGCAUUCAGUUACCAGUCAAAGAUCCGCAACAACAGGCACAUCUUCUGAUUUGGACUUGGGUUGGGGCUUGGUUUCGGAUCGUUCAGUUUAGGCUCCGGGAGCCACCUUGCCGCGAUAAAGCUUGCCAAACACGUGAAGAGCGGGGACGAAACCGAUGAAGCAGAGGCUCAUCACGAGGACGAUAGUGGGAGAGAUCUUGAGGCCCGGAGCAUCAUCAGUAUAGAAUCGGAGCAUGUUGCGGCUGCCACCUCCGAGUCCCCCGGCAGCA